AGGGAAGAGACCCCUGGGCAGAGCAGACAGUGCUCGUGCCAUGGUGGAGGGGGCAUGGAAGACAUUGAUUACUGGCAGAUAGAUCAUCCCUGACAUGCCAGCCGGAGUUGCUCUUCCCCAGCUUCCAGUUUUGACAGCGUUGACUUAUGUUUCAAAUCAUCUUCAGACAGGAGAUUUGAGGAGGCU